rnacentral:lncRNA from 1 species
AAGGAGUUUCUCAGCACCGCCCACAGGGAGCACUACGGGGAUCAAAGGGAGCCGCCCAUGGCCCGCCCAUGCUUGGGACACGUGGGACAUUGUGGCACCGCCCCUGAUCCCUGGACGGUCUUGCCCAACAGAAGCCAACAGGCACGGGGCAAACUUGGGUGGGUGUAGGGCUGAACUCAGAGAGCUGCCAGAUGGCCAGGGCCAGCUGCCUAGCCCAGAAAGUGCCUAUGCUGGUGUUGGAAAAGUAGGAGGUGCCUUGGGAACCAGGCUGCAAGGGGCUGAAUCCCACCUCUGCCACAUGCCAUGUGGUGGUGACCUGGGGCAAUUUACCUAGCCUCUCUGAACUCUAUGUAAUGGGAGUGAUCACAGCACCUAUCUCACAGGACAAUUGUGAAAAUUAUUAGAAAUGCUUAAUACGAAGUGCUUGACAAAAUCAGCAAUGCUAUAACACACUAAUAACUCGAGCCCACCUAAGGUGACAGCAGGUUACAGAUGGCAGUGCAGAACAUCCAGUGAGUCAGAUCUCAGCCUUUGGCGCAGCAGAGCAAGCACCAGCCCAGGGGACCUUGGGUCAGGAUUCAGGCCCUGAGUCCACUGCUGUCACUAUCACAAAUCCCAAGGUAGGCUACUUUGCAAGGAAAAGAGGCUUGUGGUGGCUCUGGUGGCUCUGGAGGUGCAAAUUGAAGGGCCCCAUCUGCCUUCUAGCCAGGGCAGGGCAGGGCAUCACUGGGCAGAGGCAGGGAGCAUGUGCCCUACCAGGAACUCGUUGGUGCGGCUCACUGGAUGACCUCCUCUCAGGCUGGUCACCUCCUUAAGGCCCACCUCUAAACACUACAUCAGAUGAGCUCCCCCCUUACUGCCUGGCACUGGUGAUCAAAUGCCCACCCGGGAAAACUGGGGGGACACACAUACCGUGUCCAAGCCAUCGCACAGGCCACCUGGCUGGACCAUGGUGUGCAGAUAUGGGAGGGGACUGGGCCCUGGGCAGUGGAGGAAGAUGAGCACUGAAGCCAGCCAUCCAGGAGGGGGCCGGGCACCAAAAC